CCUACGGGUGGCAGCAGUGAGUAAUAUUGGUCAAUGGGCGCGAGCCUGAACCAGCCAAGUAGCGUGAAUGAUGACUGCCCUACGGGUUGUAAAAUUCUUUUAUAAAGGCAUAAAGUGAGGCACGUGUGACUUUUUGUAUGUACUUUAUGAAUAAGGAUCGACUAACUACGUGCCAGCAGACGCGUUAAUACGUCGGAUCCGAGCGUUAUCCGGAUUUAUUGGGUUUAACGGGAGCGUAGAUGGGUUGUUAAGUCAGUUGUGAACGUUUGCGGCUCAACCGUAAAAUUGCAAUUGAUACUGGCAGUCGUGAGUACAGUUGAGGUAGGCGGAAUUCGUGGUGUAGCGGUGAAAUGCUUAGAUAUCACGAAGAACGCCGAUUGCGAAGGCAGCUUACUAAACUGCCACUGACAUUGAUGCUCGAAAGUGUGGGUAUCAAACAGGAUUAGAUACCCGGGUAGUC
rnacentral:rRNA from 1 species